GCGAAGCGCUUGAAUCUGAUUCUUCGGACGAGGAUUCUUGUGACUGAGCGGCGGACGGGUGAGUAACGCGUGGGCAACCUGCCUUACACAGGGGGAUAACAGUUAGAAAUGACUGCUAAUACCGCAUAAGACCGCAGUACCGCAUGGUACAGCGGUAAAAACUCCGGUGGUGUAAGAUGGGCCCGCGUCUGAUUAGGUAGUUGGCGGGGUAACGGCCCACCAAGCCGACGAUCAGUAGCCGACCUGAGAGGGUGACCGGCCACAUUGGGACUGAGACACGGCCCAGACUCCUACGGGAGGCAGCAGUGGGGAAUAUUGCACAAUGGGGGAAACCCUGAUGCAGCGACGCCGCGUGAGCGAUGAAGUAUUUCGGUAUGUAAAGCUCUAUCAGCAGGGAAGAAAAUGACGGUACCUGACUAAGAAGCCCCGGCUAACUACGUGCCAGCAGCCGCGGUAAUACGUAGGGGGCAAGCGUUAUCCGGAUUUACUGGGUGUAAAGGGAGCGUAGACGGCUGUGCAAGCCAGAUGUGAAAGCCCGGGGCUCAACCCCGGGACUGCAUUUUGGAACUGUGUGGCUGGAGUGUCGGAGAGGCAGGCGGAAUUCCUAGUGUAGCGGUGAA
rnacentral:rRNA from 1 species